GACGAACGCUGGCGGCGUGCUUAACACAUGCAAGUCGAGCGGAAAGGCCCUGCUUUUGUGGGGUGCUCGAGUGGCGAACGGGUGAGUAACACGUGAGUAACCUGCCCUUGACUUUGGGAUAACUUCAGGAAACUGGGGCUAAUACCGGAUAGGAGCUCCUGCUGCAUGGUGGGGGUUGGAAAGUUUCGGCGGUUGGGGAUGGACUCGCGGCUUAUCAGCUUGUUGGUGGGGUAGUGGCUUACCAAGGCUUUGACGGGUAGCCGGCCUGAGAGGGUGACCGGCCACAUUGGGACUGAGAUACGGCCCAGACUCCUACGGGAGGCAGCAGUGGGGAAUAUUGCACAAUGGGCGGAAGCCUGAUGCAGCAACGCCGCGUGCGGGAGGACGGCCUUCGGGUUGUAAACCGCUUUCGCCUGUGACGAAGCGUGAGUGACGGUAAUGGGUAAAGAAGCACCGGCUAACUACGU
rnacentral:rRNA from 1 species